UGACCCAAACCCUCACCAGAGUAGCAAUUGGAGGGCAAGUCUGGUGCCAGCAGCCGCGGUAAUUCCAGCUCCAAUAGCGUAUAUUAAACUUGUUGCAGUUAAAAAGCUCGUAGUUGUAUUUUUGCGUUAGCGGUUUGACCAUUUGGUUGGUUAUUUCGUUUUCGCUUUUGGGAAUUUCCCUUUUUACUUUGAGAAAAUUAGAGUGUUUCAAGCAGACUUUUGUCUUGAAUACUUCAGCAUGGAAUAAUAGAGUAGGACUUUGGUUCUAUUUUGUUGGUUAUUGAACCUUAGUAAUGGUUAAUAGGAACGGUUGGGGGCAUUCGUAUUUAACUGUCAGAGGUGAAAUUCUUAGAUUUGUUAAAGACGAACUACUGCGAAAGCAUUUGCCAAGGACGUUUCCAUUAAUCAAGAACGAAAGUUAGGGGAUCGAAGACGAUCAGAUACCGU
rnacentral:rRNA from 2 species